UACGUAGGAGGCAAGCGUUGUCCGGAAUCACUGGGUGUAAAGCGCGUGUAGGCGGCUGCUCAAGUCUGUCGUGAAAGCCGGCGGCUUAACCGCGGGUGGUCGAUGGAAACUGGGCGGCUGGAGGCCGGUAGAGGUGAGUGGAAUUCCCGGUGUAGUGGUGAAAUGCGUAGAGAUCGGGAGGAACACCCGUGGCGAAGGCGGCUCACUGGGCCGAGCCUGACGCUGAGACGCGAAGGCGUGGGGAGCGAACGGG
rnacentral:rRNA from 1 species